UUUAUACCUAUUCGAAGGGAUAGGGUCGGUUGGCCGGAUUUCACACAGGUGUUGCAUGGCUGUCGUCAGCUCGUGUCGUGAGAUGUUGGGAAGUCCCGCAACGAGCGCAACCCUCAUCCUUAGUUACCAUCAGGUUAUGCUGGGGACUUUAGGAAACUGCCAGUGAUAAACUGGAGGAAGGUGGGGAUGAUGUCAAGUCAUCAUGGCCCUUUGGAGUGGGCUACACACGUGCUACAAUGGUGAUUACAAUGGGCCGCAAGGUCGCAAGGCUAGCUAAUCCUAAAAAAUCAUCUCAGUUCGGAUUGUUCUCUGCAACUCGAGAGCAUGAAGUGGAAUCGCUAGUAAUCGUGGAUCAGCAUGCCACGGUGAAUACGUUCUCGGGUCUUGUACAACUGCCCGUC
rnacentral:rRNA from 1 species